UUGAACGCUGGCGGCAUGCUUUACACAUGCAAGUCGGACGGCAGCACAGAGAAGCUUGCUUCUUGGGUGGCGAGUGGCGAACGGGUGAGUAACAUAUCGGAACGUACCGAGUAAUGGGGGAUAACUAAUCGAAAGAUUAGCUAAUACCGCAUAUUCUCUGAGGAGGAAAGCAGGGGACCUUCGGGCCUUGCGUUAUUCGAGCGGCCGAUAUCUGAUUAGCUAGUUGGUGGGGUAAAGGCCUACCAAGGCGACGAUCAGUAGCGGGUCUGAGAGGAUGAUCCGCCACACUGGGACUGAGACACGGCCCAGACUCCUACGGGAGGCAGCAGUGGGGAAUUUUGGACAAUGGGCGCAAGCCUGAUCCAGCCAUGCCGCGUGUCUGAAGAAGGCCUUCGGGUUGUAAAGGACUUUUGUCAGGGAAGAAAAGGCUGUCGCUAAUACCGACAGUUGAUGACGGUACCUGAAGAAUAAGCACCGGCUAACUACGUGCCAGCAGCCGCGGUAAUACGUAGGGUGCAAGCGUUAAUCGGAAUUACUGGGCGUAAAGCGAGCGCAGACGGUUACUUAAGCAGAUGUGAAAUCCCCGGGCUCAACCUGGGAACUGCGUUCUGAACUGGGUGACUAGAGUGUGUCAGAGGGAGGUAGAAUUCCACGUGUAGCAGUGAAAUGCGUAGAGAUGUGGAGGAAUACCGAUGGCGAAGGCAGCCUCCUGGGAUAACACUGACGUUCAUGCUCGAAAGCGUGGGUAGCAAACAGGAUUAGAUACCCUGGUAGUCACGCCCUAAACGAUGUCAAUUAGCUGUUGGGCAACUUGAUUGCUUAGUAGCGUAGCUAACGCGUGA
rnacentral:rRNA from 1 species